UGCUACAGUACCCGAGAGGAAAAAAAAAAAAGAGAAGAAAAGAGUGAGAGGUUUGGAGAGAAAUUUGAUGAGAUAAAACUUAGUACUUUGAGAGGAGAAUGAAUGAAGUAUUCUUGGUGUUGAUUAGGCUUGGGAGGAGUUCUAGGUCUAGCAAGGAGCUCAAGGACACCAGCUGCAGGAGCAGGACCCUAGAUUGCCUGAUCGAGUAUAG